GUUGCAAAGAACUUUGAAGAGAGAGUUCAAGAGUACGUGAAACUGCUGAGAGGCAAACUGGUGGGCCCUCGAAAUCCCGUUUGCGGGGAGAUUCAGUCGGGUGUCGGCGGCCGUCUCUAAAAUGGGUCUGUCGCAACCGAAGAUCGGGGCACAUUCCGAGGGACGAGUUCCGCUGGAACCCGACGCAUUUCCCGCCCGCACGAAAGGAACGCCGCAGCCGGUCGGGUAGCUGCGCGUGUCGGCCAUGAGGACGUUGCGACGGCAGGUGACCGGCGGCCCCAGGCUUCUCCGGAGGCACUGACGGUCGACGGUUGAUUAGCCGGCUCGUCCGUGGCGCGACACCCGACCGAGGUAAAGAGAGAGACAGAGACGGGGAUAACGUCUCCACGGAGACGUCCCCGUCUGCAAUCCACUACUUUCAAACGAGAGAGCGAGCCGUCGGACAGGCGCGUUCCUGCGUGGUCGGACAGUCACCGCACUGGUCGAUCUGGUGGGAGCGCGUCGAUCGUACCGAGUCAGGAUCUCGCGGAGGAUGAAGGCUGGCGGCGAGUAGGUCGGUAACCCACCCGACCCGUCUUGAAACACGGACCAAGGAGUCUAACAUGUGCGCAAGUCGCGGGGUCUUGUUCAGGCCCAAAGGCGAAAUGAAAGUGAAGGCCGCCGCUUCCCCUUAUUCAGUUAGGGGCGGAGUGAGGCGGCCAGGUCGGGACUCGCACGUGACACGGGACGUGACGAAGCACCGACGACCCGCCCUGUUCUAUCUUCUCGAUAGGAACUCAAACGGAGUUUGAGCGCACACGUUGGGACCCGAAAGAUGGUGAACUAUGCCUGGGCAGGACGAAGCCAGAGGAAACUCUGGUGGAGGUCCGCAGCGGUUCUGACGU
rnacentral:rRNA from 1 species